AAGUCAGGGGAAACCCUGAUGGAGGUCCGAAGCGAUUCUGACGUGCAAAUCGAUCGUCGGAACUGGGUAUAGGGGCGAAAGACUAAUCGAACCAUCUAGUAGCUGGUUCCCUCCGAAGUUUCCCUCAGGAUAGCUGGCGCUCGCUUUUGCGAGUCUCAUCUGGUAAAGCGAAUGAUUAGAGGCAUUGGGGUCGAAACGGCCUCAACCUAUUCUCAAACUUUAAAUGGGUGAGAUCUUCGGCUUGCUUGAGUAGUGAAGCCGCGAGAUCGGAUCAGAGUGCCAAGUGGGCCAUUUUUGGUAAGCAGAACUGGCGCUGUGGGAUGAACCAAACGCAGAGUUAAAGCUCCUAAAUCUACGCUUAUUAGAUACCAUGAAAGGCGUUGGUAACUUAAGACAACAGGACGGUGGCCAUGGAAGUCGGAAUCCGCUAAGGA
rnacentral:rRNA from 1 species